UCCCUUGUAGCUUAGUUGGUAAAGAAUCUGCCUGCAAUACAGGAGACCUUGGUUUGAUUCCUGGGUUGGGAA
rnacentral:tRNA from 1 species